GCAGGUGUGCUGGAAUUGGAAUACAGAACAGACUUAAAAUCUGUCGCCCAGAUGGGAUUGAGGGAUCGUGACCCUUCACCUGCACCA
rnacentral:tRNA from 1 species